CCUACGGGUGGCAGCAGUGGGGAAUAUUGCACAAUGGGGGAAACGCUGAUGCAGCGACGCCGCGUGAGUGAAGAAGUAUUUCGGUAUGUAAAGCUCUAUCAGCAGGGAAGAAAUAUAGUCCUUCGUACUUUGGACGGUACCUGACUAAGAAACCCCUGCUAACUACGUGCCAGCAGCCGCGCUAAUACGGAAGGCCCGCGCGUUAUCCGGUUUCAUUGGGCUUUAAGGGAGCGUAGUCGGGCGUUCAAGUCAGCUGUAAAAUCGCGCGGCGCAACCGGGCCGCGCAGUUGAUACUGGACGCCUGGAGUUCAGAAGAGGCAGGAGGAAUUCGUGGUGUAGCGGUGAAAUGCAUAGAUAUCACGAGGAACCCCGAUUGCGAAGGCAGCCUGCCGGGGUGCGACUGACGCUGAGGCUCGAAGGUGCGGGUAUCAAACAGGAUUAGAUACCCUUGUAGUC
rnacentral:rRNA from 1 species